CUGUGGCGCCUCGCAAUGACGUCACGACUCCAGGUGAACUGGCGUCGGCACGAGCGGACGCUGUCGGAACACAUUUCCAAAGUUUUUACGGGGACUAGCUUGUUAACUUUUUGUCGGAGUUCAACGAACUACAACCGAAAGUGAAGAAGAAGACAACGAAAGACUGAUUUACUCUGUACUGGAAAUAUGAAGACAGCUAGCAGCAAGCCUGGCCCUGCCAAAAGAAUCUGCGUGGUCCGUUGCUGCCUCGCAGAGAAGCGAAGCCCUCGUAAGGAAUACUGGACGUACCGGUCACAAACUGGACGACGGACAGCGAGGAGGAGAAGAAGAGGAAGAUGGCAUACACAAGUCUGACAAGUCGAUCUCAGCGGUGCCGGCAAUCACCAGCUCCAGCUCCCUGGCAUCAAACACCGACACCAACCUGGCGUCCACCACCUGGCACACAGAGCCCAACCUGUCCGAACACUUCUUCAUUGACGGUGAAAGUGAGGUCCAGAAUGUCCUCGAUGUCAUUGUCCUUUGUCCACUGAAGGGACUGGUGAAACUCUUCAUCCAGAUACUCCAGGUCACUCAGGUCACAUGGACUACACGGUGGAAAAUGACCACUCACCCCUCCUCCCCAACAAAGCUAACGUAGAGCUUGCUGCGCUGCAGGUCUUUCCGGGAGUAGCACAUGAUCUGGUUGAAGGCAUCUUCCAGCAGACGGUCACGACGGACGAUCAACCUGAGACAGCAGAAGCGUCGUGGGCUGACCUCCCCAGCGCUGUGACUGCGUUGGCGUGUCAAGUGUUGACGGUGAGCCAGGAGACUUGGGGGCCGUGAGCUCUGGAGAGGCAGCCGGGGAUCAAUGAAGGUGGUGGCACGGCAGUUAUGGUCCACAAAGAAAGGCUGUGGGCACACAACAACACAGACAGUUGCAUUUUGGCAUAUGAAAGUUACAAAUAACAGAAUUAAAUGUUGAAUGCUGAAAAAAAA